rnacentral:rRNA from 1 species
UACGUAGGUCCCGAGCGUUGUCCGGAUUUAUUGGGCGUAAAGCGAGCGCAGGUGGUUUAUUAAGUCUGGUGUAAAAGGCAGUGGCUCAACCAUUGUAUGCAUUGGAAACUGGUAGACUUGAGUGCAGGAGAGGAGAGUGGAAUUCCAUGUGUAGCGGUGAAAUGCGUAGAUAUAUGGAGGAACACCGGUAGCGAAAGCGGCUCUCUGGCCUGUAACUGACACUGAGGCUCGAAAGCGUGGGGAGCAAACAGG